CUCGUGCGGGAUCCCGCGGACACGCAAUAGAGCAAACGGUAGAACCCAGAUAUUCCAAGUCCCGCACUCUGUCUGCACGUGGCGCUGCUGAGGCGUCCCACCUAAGACACUCCAGUGUAAGAUGUUCAGAGUACUUGGCUUUCCCCACAUUCGUCUCCUUUCUCCCGAACUCGUCCUUUGCCGUCAGUGUGAAAGGUGUAUUUGCAGACCGAUGUGCAUGCGUUCGUAGACUACUUGUAAUACUGAAAAUUCACACAUGUGAAAUGGGAGAAUCCUCCUUGCUGGCAUUGGUGAAACAAGUGUGAUAUUGGGGAAAUCUGCAAGACAAGAAACUGUCAGCCCAGAAAGACAGAUGAGGACUAACCCCUGCCAACAACCCCCAGAUGCUUGAAAGUGGAUCAACCCUAGUAGAGUCUUCACAUGAGAAACCAGUCUUGGCUGACACCUUGACAGCCCGCUACAAGGACCCAGCUAAGCUGUGCCUGGACCUUCAUCCACAGAUACUCUGUGCUGUGUGACAUGUGGCCUCUUAGUUCCAUGACCUGGAAUGGAACCCGAGCCUGCUGCAUUGGAAGUGCAGAAUCUUAACCACUGGACUGCCACGGAAGUCCUCAAUAUUUGAUUAUCUUUAAUUCAUAUUUUAUUGUAUUAUUCUUAAUGAAGUUGGAUGUUUUUUUCAUAUCUUAAAAUAUUUUCUAAUGUUUAUCAGUACAUUUCCCAAUUUUAUAUUCAAUUUAGAAAAAUCAAUUUGAA